CCUACGGGAGGCAGCAGUGAGGAAUCUUGGUCAAUGGGCGCAAGCCUGAACCAGCCAAGCAGCGUGAAGGAUGACUGCCCUAUGGGUUGUAAACUUCUUUUAUAUGGGAAUAAAGUUCAGUAUGUAUACCUCUUUGCAUGUACCGUACGAAUUAGGAUCGGCUAACUCCGUGCCAGCAGCCGCGGUAAUACGGAGGAUCCGAGCUUUAUCCGGAUUUAUUGGGUUUAAAGGGCGCGUAGGCUGGUGGUUAAGUCAGAUGUGAAAGGUGGCGGCUCAACCGUAAAAUGGCAGUUGAUACUGGAAGACUUGAGUACAGGAGAGGAAAGCGGAAUUCGAGGUGUAGCGGUGAAAUGCGUAGAUAUCACGAAGAACUCCGAUUGCGAAGGCAGCUUGCUGGACUGUAACUGACGCUGAUGCACGAAAGCGUGGGGAUCAAACAGGAUUAGAUACCCGAGUAGUC
rnacentral:rRNA from 1 species